rnacentral:rRNA from 1 species
UACAGGGGGGGCAAGCGUUGUUCGGAAUUACUGGGCGUAAAGGGUCUGUAGGUGGCCAACUAAGUCAGACGUGAAAUCCCAAGGCUUAACCUUGGAACUGCGUCGGAUACUGGAUGGCUUGAAUUCGGGAGAGGGAUGCAGAAUUCCAGGUGUAGCGGUGAAAUGCGUAGAUAUCUGGAGGAAUACCGGUGGCGAAGGCGGCAUCCUGGACCGACAUUGACGCUGAAAACCGAAAGCUAGGGGAGCAAACGGG